CCUUGAUUUUCCUUAAAACUAUUCGGUGACAUUCAACUUUCUCAGUAAAACGUUUCUUUACAAUAUGUUUUUAAGCAUUACCGUCCUCGGAAACUCUGGCCUUUCUUCGGAAGGCCACUAAAGAAAAUAAAAACAAAGGAAGUUGAAGCUGAGCCUGAACCUCCCACCCUGAACUCCAUCAUACCUCUUAAAUACAAAAUCCGACCUUCAAUAACAUAAAGCACCUUCAAAUUCUAAAAGUGACAGGUUUUGGCCUAUUCAUUGGAACCCUUCUUCCAUUCGUCCUUCUAGCGUCCUUGUCAUGCAUUAGGAAUUUCAUUGGAACAACGUUGAAAUCCUCACCCCCAAAAAGGUAGAAAGGGUUACCUUCUCCAAGACAGGUUUCAUGUAUUUUUACAUAUACUCUUUCACUUUGUGCCCUUUAAAUUUGAGAGUGGGUGAAGGAACUAACCCAAUAAUCUUAGAUUUUUCCAGUGAUACCAAGUAUGUUUGGCACAAGUAGGCCUAUCUUUGUGGCAUACAGUGGUUUACCACCACCAAUGGUGUUAUGAGACUGAGAAAACCCUAACUCUAGCACAUAUGAUGAACCUCUACUCCAAAAACAUUUUUCGUGGGAGUAUGCUAAAUCUUAGAAAAUGCAGUAAUCAUGCUCUUCUUACUAGCAUUGACAACGACACUGACCGUGGAUUGAUGGAACAGUUUGUUAUUAUAUCUACUAGGGAUAUCAUCCCAAUCACAAUACCAGCUUUUCCCCGAUCAUGAAAUCUUUUUUGUAAAUUUUUCAGGUAUUUGAUUCCUUUCCUUGUAAAAAUAAAUCUUCUUUCUUUGUUGACUUUUUAUUUUCUUUGUUCCAACCACUCACCAGGACCCUCCACCGGUAUAAGAUUUGGACCGAUGGGUACAAAAAAUUUUGAAUAUCACUAUACUAGAAUCCUAAAGGUGGAAGGGAAUGACUCCCAAAUAUGGGUGGAGCCAAAAAUCAUCAUAAAUAAAAACUCUGCUUCCUUUAUUUCAAACUUCUAAUACAACAUGCAAACAAUUUAACUAUCUUCUAGUGCCAAACAAGAAAUCUAAAGGAAUCCAUUGUGUGUCCCGACAUCAAAGAUCUUUAUAACCUGGUGGAAGCUCAACGAGUAUUGUCGAGCGCCUAUAAAUUGAGGAGGGCUCGUGAAUGUACUUGCCCCUCCACUAAAUGUGCCUCUUCCCGGAGUCUCUAGUAAAAAAAAUAAGCAACUAAAAAGGAAACGUAUCUCCACGGCUGGGACUUAGGAGAAGAGAAUAAUAAAACACAAACCAGACCAACCACAUGGUCCUUGAUGAUUAGAGGAGGUUGAUGGUGAAGAGGCCCCCUUUUAAAAGAAGAAAAAAAUCUUUAUCAGUUCAACCAGAUGCUCAGCCGGGGGAGCUUCAAACUCCAUCUCCAAAGGAAGUUCAGGAACUCUGGGGGGAGGGUUAAAUAGCAAUAUCAAAAAAUACUACAUCUCGUUUUUGGAUCCCACAAUUGCUUCUACUUAAAGGAUUUGAAUUCCCGAAUCUUCCUCCAUUGUCAAUUUUUGAGCCGAUAAUAACUUCUUCUCUAUCCACAUCAAUUGCUUCUUCUCCACUAACCCAAGCUGAACAAGUAAGAAAUGCCCCUUCUCCACAGUCUCCCAACCAAGAAAAUUUAAGAAAAAAUUAUUCGGUACCCACUCAAGACCCUCAUGGAAAACAAGGCAUCAUUCUUUUGGUUUCUAAUGAAGGGCCAAUCAGAAUAAGCCACGUGGAAUUAAAAAAAAUUUAAAAAUAAUUACAAGUCAGCUGCUAGAUUUAGGGGCAAAAAUAUGCCAGAAAUUUAACAGUAGGGGCAUUUUUUUCAAAAUAGGUUAACGGAGGGCAUUUUUAAACUGGAGUCAAUACGUUAGGGACAGUUCUGACCCUUUUCCGUUUGUCAAUUGUCCAUUUCUAGCAGUAUAUAUUUAUAGGUGUAUCCGUAUAAUAUAGUUUACAACCAAUUUAGAGACUGGCCUAUGAUAUGCAGAAAUGGAUAAUCGGUGCCCAUAAAAUUUAGCAAAAAUUCCAUAUAUAUACACAUGCAGAUUUUAAUUAAAUUUAAAAAUAUAUUCUCGACCUUCAUAUUUUGGAUCUCGCUCUGAUCCGUAUAAUUUAAGCACAACUAAUAAUUAUGGUCCUACUACCACUAGUCAUAGAAGUCAGCAAUUCAAAAAAGCCGUGUGAUCUAGUGUCAAUCGUUAAUGUUUACAAAAUGCACUACUCAUUGUUCUCUUAACUAAGGAGGUUUCGUUAUUAUAAAGUUUGAGUUUGAAGACUACUGAUAAAUGAGUAAAAUGCACAAUUUUGAGUAUAGUUUCAUAUCAUUUUAUGAGUGAAUUGCGGGAAAUCACAUGCUUACAAAUAUGAAUAUGCUCAUUGUGUUUUAUCGCGUGUAGAAAUGAAUUUGGAUGGAAGUUGGCAAAAAAUUAAUUGGAUGAUUUGAUAAAAAAAAAGAUAGAAAUGCAAGAGUUGAGAGCGUGCCACGAUUAAUGCAUUACAUGAAUGAUAGGUGUGAGAUGACCUAGGAAUUUAAUCAAAACCAGUGUAUGACACUUUGGCACCAUCUCCAGCACGUGAAAUAAACAAAUAAUUAAAAAUAAGUUGGGAGCUUGCAUAGGGGUCGCACAUUGCACCAACCCUCAACAUGCGACUCAAUUUUUCCUUUGCAAAUUAGGAGAGAUCACGGACACCUCACAUUAACCCUAUUCGUUUCAAAUACAACUUGAAGCAGUUUUUCAAGGGUCUACAAUAUUUCAGGAGGCAAGAACACACAAGAGCAAGGCGGAGAGGAGAAUUCUUUAUGAGUUUUUCACUUUCUUCUUCAAAUUUUUACUGUUGGUUAUGACUUUUUAUACUGUAAUCAUGCAUAAUAUUAUGAGUAGCUAAACCCGUUAUCUAAGAUUUAAUUGAACCAAUUUUUGGAUAAAUUCUUAAUUGCAUAUUGGUACAAUUGAGCUGUUUUACUCUCUAAUUGUUAAAUUGAAGGGUCAUUGGUUAAUCUUGUCUAGUUAUCU
rnacentral:lncRNA from 1 species